UUCUAACAGACAGGACCCUCAGCUGCAGGUCUGUUGGAAUACCCUGCCGUGUGAGGUGUCAGUGUGCCCCUGCUGGGGGGUGCCUCCCAGUUAGGCUGCUCGGGGGUCAGGGGUUAGGGACCCACUUGAGGAGGCAGUCUGCCCGUUCUCAGAUCUCCAGCUGCAUGCUGGGAGAACCACUGCUCUCUUCAAAGCUGUCAGACAGGGACAUUUAAGUCUGCAGAGGUUACUGCUGUCUUUUUGUUUGUCUGUGCCCUGCCCCCAGAGGUGGAGCCUACAGAGGCAGGCAGGCCUCCUUGAGCUGUGGUGGGCUCCACCCAGUUCGAGCUUCCCAGCUGCUUUGUUUACCUAAUCAAGCCUGGGCAAUGGCGGGCGCCCCUCCCCCAGCCUCGCUGCCGCCUUGCAGUUUGAUCUCAGACUGCUGUGCUAGCAAUCAGCGAGACUCCGUGGGCGUAGGACCCUCCGAGCCAGGUGUGGGAUAUAGUCUCGUGGUGCGCCGUUUUUUAAGCCGGUCUGAAAAGCGCAAUACUCGGGUGGGAGUGACCCUAUUUUCCAGCCUGCAAACAGCUAGAGGACCAUAAAAAACAAGGUAUCCUCUGUGCUCAAGGAGAGGCUCUAGAUGAACAGAAUACAGACCUGAGGUAAUGCACUACACAGACAGUUCUGGGAAUCAACAUGUGAACACUUGUGUGUAGAUUUCUGUGAAAUGGUCCUUGGAAACUCAUUGUGACCACCCUGCUCAACACAUAGUUAAAGGAAAUGGAAGGGCCAUUAGUCAGCCUGCUCCACCUCCAGAUUCAGAUUAGCUAAUAGUACCUACUAUGCAUCUGGCUCUAAGUGAAAGAAUUUUACAAGUGUUACUUUGUUUCAAACUUGUGAAUGUCAGAAAAUGAGCAGAGUGACAGGAUUUAAACAGAAAUCUCUCAGUCCAGAGAUGAGGUCUCAAAAUCCUGGGCUAAAAUGAUCCUCCUGCCUCAGCCGCACAAAGUGAUAAGAAAUCAGCCAAAUGAAACUGAACUACAGGGAAAGACUCAUAAAUUUUCUAAUUUUUUUGUGGAUGGAGAUACGGGUGCAUAUUGAAGUGGAUCAUAUCUGACCUUUCCAGAGAAAGGAGGUGAAAACAUCCCUGCUUUAAAGAAUAGGCAAGAAAACCACAGAAUUUAGUGUCUUUACUAUUUGCCUGAAAGACAAACCGGAAGACCAAUCUCCUGACUGGUAAGUUGGUAUUCUUUCCAUUAAACAGUGCUCAAUAUGUAUAGAAAUAACACUGGAGUCUUCUUUGAGUGCCAAUUCUGGUGAAGCCAGUCUGGAGUGAGACCUGAGAUUCUAUAUCUCUAAUAAGCUCCAAUGCUGCUGGUCCAUGCACCACGCUUUGAGAAGCUAAGUAUUAAAUCACAGUAGCUAGCCAGAGCACAUUACUUAAUCAUACUUUGGGCUGAACAUGCUGAGGUGAUCUAGUUUUUUCCAGGAUAAUUUUGUUUUCCUCUGGUGAGAGGGUCCCAAUUAAGGUGAGGAGAAAACAAAGGAAUGGUAGAAAGUUAAGGUUUCUGAAGUAGUUAAUACAUGCCAGGUGCUGUGACAGACAUCCGUUCAUCCAUUACAUCACUUAAUUCUCACUAAAGUAAUGUAUUAUUGUCUCCUUUAUAUCCACCAUGAAAUAUCCUUGGAGAGAAUACGGGGCUUCCCUAAGAUAGCCAAUCCAAGCAACAGAGCAGGGAUCCAACCCAGUUUUUCUGACUUAGAAUCCUACCUGCGGUAUAUAUUACAACAUAAUAAAGAAAUUGUCUUUGCCGGGCACAGUGGCUCAUGCGUAAUCCCAGCACUUUGGGAUGUGGCAUGCUGAGGCAGGCGGAUCACCUGUGGUCAGGAGUUCAAGACCAGCCUGGUCAACAUGGUGAAACCCCAUCUCUACUAAAAUACGAAAAGUAGCUUAGCUGGGUGUGGUGGCGCACGCCUAUAAUCCCAGCUACUUGGGAGUCUGAGGUAGAAGAAUUGUUUGAACCCAGGAGACGGAGCCUGCAGUGAGCUGAGAUUGUGCCACUGCACUCCAGCCUGGGCAACAGAUUAAGACUCCAUCUCAAAAAAAAAAAAGAAAGAAAGAAAGAAAGAAAGAAAGAAAGAAAGCAUCUUUAAAGUGAUUAAUACGCACCUUGAUGACCUUCUUUAUUUUUAAUGGAUUUUAAUAUUUCCAAGAUGGAGUGUGUGCAAUGCUUCUAGCAGCUGCAUUACUGUUGACUGUGGAUCCUCACACAGGAGUUCUCAGCUGGGAGGAGAAUGUAGACACAUUCCAAUUCUAAGAUGCAAUUUUGGAUGGAUACCAAAAUAACUUUUACUUUCAUCCUUUUGGUAUGGAAGAUACAAAUCUUUUAAAAGCUGGAGCCCAAAGAAAUGUAAAUAUAGCUUAUUCAGGUCUGACAUUUCAAAAGAGGUCACCCCACCAGCAGUAUCAUCCCUGGUCUAUUAUCAGGUUUUCUGUCACUCAUGGUGAUUAAGGGUGAUAAACAGUGCAAAGCACUUGGAGUAGGCCAGAGGGCACAAAGAGAGACGUAGUUCACUUAAAAAGGACCACAUUUUCUGAGAAUAGAAAAGGCCAUUCACCCUCUGUGUCUUUGCUUCCAAAGAAGAAACAAUUGUUCUUUCAGAGACAAAGCAGUCAUCUCCCAGAAUUCUGCUAGAAUGUCAUCUGGGGGGGAACAGUUAGUUACCCAGGCUAAUGAACCUACUGCGUGGAAGAGUCACUGCUGUGGGAAUCAUCUGGCUCCCACUGUGAUCCCCAUUCCAUCCUCUCAGACUGCUUUUAGAUUGGCUUUGAAGUUAGUACAGAAGGGGAUUAUUUCACAUAACAGAAUGCUCUCCAGGUUAAUCCAUGUUGUUGCAAAUGACAUUUCUUUCUUUUUUCAGUUUGAAUAAUAUUCCAUUGUGUGUAUAUACCACAUUUUCUUUAUCCAUUUAUCCAUGGAUGGGUACUUAGAUUGAUUUCACUUCAUUUAUGCAUGGGCUUUUAAAAAUUCAAACUCAUAGAAGUAGAGAAUAGAAGGGCGGUUACCAGGGGCUAAGGUUUGGGGAGAUUGAAGAGAUGCUGGUCAAAAAAUACAAAAUUUUAAUGAGGAGAAAUAAGUCCAAGGGAGCUAUUGCAUGAUAGCUAGUAACAAUGCACUCUACACUUGGAAAAUUGCUAAGAAAGUAAACCUUAAGUAUUCUCACUAAAAAUAAAUACGUGAAAUAAUACAUAUGUUUAUUAGCUUGAUUGAGCCAUUCCACAAUACAUGCAUAUUUCAAAACGUGUAGUACAUUAUAAAUGUAUAUAACUGUUAUUUGUCAACUUAAAAAUAAGACAACUGGAGCUGCAUGAGGUGGCUCAUACCUGUAAUCUCAGCAUUUUGGGAGGCUGAGGCAGGUGGAUCCUUGAGCGCAGGAGUUCUAGAACAGCCUGGGCAAUGUGGCAAAACUCCAUCUAUAUAAAAAAUAGAAAAAUUAGCAAGUCAUUGUGGCAUGCACCUGUAGUCCUAGCUACUCAGGAGGCUGAUUUGGGAGGAUCGCUUGAGCUCAGGAGGUCGAGGCUACAGUGAACCAAGAUCUCACCACUGCACUCCUGCCUGGGUGACAGAGUGAGACCCUGUCUCAAAAAGAAAAAGAAAAGUUAAAAAAAGACAGGUGCCGGGCACAGUGGCUCAUGCCUAUAGUUGCAGCACUUUGGGAGGCCAAAGGGGGCGGAUCAUCUGAGGUCAGGAGUUUGAGACCAGCCUGACCAACACAGAGAAACCCUGUCUCUACUAAAAAUACAAAACUAGCUGGGCGUGGUGGUGCAUGCCUGUAAUCCCAGCUACUCAGGACGCUGAGGCAGAAGAAUGGCUUGAAUCUGGGAGGCGGAGGUUCCCGUGAGCCAAGAUCGCACCACUGCAAUCCAGCCUGGGCAACAAGAGUGAAACUCCAUCUCAAAAAAAAAAAAAAAAAAAAAAAAAAAAAAAACGAACGCAUGCAAACUUUUGAGGGAUACAAAACAUCCUUUUGUCAGAGCUGUCUUAUUAGCUGUCUUAUCUUCACUUCUAUUCAUGCUGAGUUGUAUUUCCCAACAUUGGAGAUAGUCCCAUACUCUUGUCCUUGCCUAGAAGAACAGUGUUGUUGGCCGGGCACAGUGGCUCAUGCCUAUAAUCCCAGCACUUUGGGAGGCAGAGGUGGGCGGAUCACCUGAGGUCGGGAGUUUGAGGCCAGCCUGACCAACAUGGAGAAACACCGACUCUACCAAAAAUACAAAAUUAGCCGGGCGUGGUGGUGCAUGCCUGUAAUCCCAGCUACUCGGGAGGCUGAGGCAGGAGAAUCGCUUGAACCCAGGAGGCGGAGGUUGCAGUGAGCCAAGAUCACGCCAUUGCACUCUAGCCUGGGCAAUGAGAGUGAAACUCCAUCUCAAAAUAAUAAUAAUAAUAAUAAUAAUGAACCAGUCUUGUUGUAAUUGUUUGGUUUUUAGAUCUGGCACUCUGCUGCUUCCUUGUCAACAGUGAAGCAAGAAAACCCAUGCAAGCUCAAGAUGCAAUGGGUCAAGGGCUGGUUCUUUCUCCUUGUGAUUUUGGUAAUCUCUGUUUUCUUUCCUCUCUCCCCUUUUAUACAUACAGUAUUUUCUCUUCAGUGUUUAGGUAUAGACUUUGGAUUCAACAAUGUCUUCUGUCUUAGAAAAGCUCCCGAGGCAUAGAAGUGCAAUGGGAGUGAAAUACAGGCAAGACAAAUUUGUAUCUCAAUAAUUUAUAACUGUGAUUAAUUUUCUUGAUUAUUUCCCUCUCCAAGAAACACAUUUUCAACAUAUGGUAAGGCUUUAGGGGAACAAACAAGCCAAAAUUCAAAGUCCAGAUCUGUAACAGAAUAGUCAUGUGAAUUUCAGUAUGUUACUCAAAGCUCAGUUGCAUCUACUGCAAAAUAUGUAUAAUAAUACCCCAUCAGUUUGGCAUGCAAAUUAUGUCAAAACUUCUAAAUGCUUCAGUGGCUCAUAAUUCCCAGUAAGUUGUAUUUAUGUUGUCUAGGAUGUAUUUCACUGGAGGAAUUAUAUACUCCAGAUAAAUAACACAAUUUAUAUCUACAACAUUCAGAGAAUUUUGGAAGGAAACUUUACACCAAUUUCAAAUAAUCCUCAAUCUAUGAAACUCUAAAGUGAGAUUACCCCUCAGAUUUAUACCCACCAAUUCUAAUAGUUUAAAGAGAAAAGAAAAAAAGAAAAGCAAGUUUCCAGUACGGAUUUCAAGACUAAAUUAAUUUCCUAAGCUGUUUCUGCAAAACAUAGAGAAAAUUCCACUCCAUCAUACAAGAUUUUGACAUUAUUUCUCAUUUUCAUAUCAUGAUAAACAGAGGACAUGAUAGUAUUUGUACAAUACCCUGGAUUAAAUGGAUGAGGCUGCUUGUAGUGGAAAGAAAUGGACUUGGGGGCCCAGUCAGCCUCAUUUCCCAUCUGUCAAUCUCUAGGGAUGACAGAACCAAUCUUUUGGCCUACCUGUAACCUAUCCAGAAAUACCAGUGGUUGGAAGUUGGUACUCUCUGAACUAGGACACAGAAAACAGUAUCAUGCAUGUAUGGAAUAUGAAGCAUGUUACUCUAUUUGGAAAUGGAGUUUAAAUUAGAAUAAAUAGUAAAUCAAUUAAUCAGUAUAUCUACUGAUUUAGCCAAUCAUUCACUGCCUCCUAAACUUCUCACCCAUUAUAUGAAAAGAAAUAAGAACUUGUUUCUGCUCUAUGGGCUUACAGUCUAGAAUAGCCCUCUCCAAUAGAAAUAUAAUUCAAGCUUUAGAUGAAAGUCAUAUAUGUAAUUUAUAAACAUAAUGUAAAAAGUUAUGUAUAAAUAAUGUAGUCAUAUAAAAAGAAACAGAUGAAAUCAAUUCUAACAAUAUAUUUAAAUUAACCUAUUAUACCCCAAAUGUUUAAGUAACCCAAUAUCACACAAUGAAUUAAAAAAUAACCCAGCAUAUUAGCCUCUCAACACAUAAUUAAUAUGAGUCACUGAGCUACUUUGCAUUCUAGUUUUGUGCUAAGUCUUUGAAAUUCGGUAUUCACAGCUCAAUUUGGACUAGCUGUAGUUUGGAUGCUCAAUGGCCUCAUAUGGGUAAUAGCUACACAAUUGAAGAGUUCAAGUCUGGAAAGAUAAAGUUAGGCAUGUAAACAAGUAAAGGCAAUAGAAAGGCAGACAGAGCUGAGUGGGAAAGAGCUCCAAAGUAAUCAGGAGCAAAACAUAGAGUUUUACCUCCUACAAUGCUCAGGAGCAGGCCCACUUUCCUUAUUCAAUUGUGUAAGAAGAUAUUGUGUUAAAGCCUUCUUUUAACAGUUCUAGAAAUUAUGAAAAAAAAAUCACUGUAAACAUGAUAAACUGUUACCCACAAAGCUGGUCUCCCCAAGGAUGGGGUCUCUCUGUUUGGUGUCAGAAAGCCAAUAUACAAAACUGAAAGUGAGUGUCAAGCAGUGCAGGCUUUACUCAAUCACCAUGGAACUGAGACACAGGAGCAUGACUCCUCCUGGGCUAGUGAGGAGUGAAUGGGUUAAAAUAUAGGGUUUUCUGAUGAAGGUGUUGGACAUUAAACGUGAGAGGAAGAAUGUCUAUGUCUUUUUCCAGAAAUGGGUGGUGAUAUUGUUUGGCUGUGUGCCCACCCAAAUCUCAUCUUGAAUUGUAGCUCCCAUAAUUCCCAUGUGUUGUGGGAGGGACCCAGUGGGAGAUAAUUGAAUCAUGGGAGCAGUUUUCCCCAUGCUGUUCUCAUGGUAGUGAUUAAGUCUGUAAUGGUUUUAUAAAGGGAAAGCCCUUUUGUUUGGCUCUUUGACUCUAUCUUGCUGCUGUCAUGUAAGAAGUGCCUUUCGCCCUCGCCCUCCACCAUGAUUGUGAAGCCUUCUCAGCCACAUAGAACUGUGAGUUCAUUAAACCUCUUUUACUUUAUAAAUUACCCAGUCUCUGGUGUGUCUUUAUCAGCAGCAUGAAAACAGACUAAUACAGGUGAUGAACUUCCUGGAACCAGAGUGCUGCCUUCCUUUUUGUCCUUUUCUGGCUUAUUCUGGUUGUUGUCAUGGCACAUAUCAACUGUCAUGGCACUGUUGGAAGUAAGUGUCAUUUAGCAUGGAAAUGAGAUCGUAAUGAAGCCUAAAGUCUUUUGACAUCGUUUGGUCUGCUAUCUUGGUUUUAACCAGUUUCAACUGGUCUGGUUACAAAGGAAACUUUUGAUCACAAGCAUCCUUUUUCUUCAAGGUAAGUGGAGUCAGAGCAGGGUAGAAAUUCAGCUAGUCUGGUUUGCAAAGAAAAAUUUUGAUCGCAGGCAUCCUUUUUCUUCAAGAUAAGUGGAGUUAGGGCAGGGUAGAAAUUCAGCUAUGCCAUAUAGGCUUUACAGCAGAUCACAGUAACAUCUUAUGUUUAUUUGCUCUUUUUUAUUUGGCCAUUUAUAGAUUGCACUGCACAUGUUUUAAAAUUCCACAGGAAUUAAAGAUACAGUUUUUCAUUUAGACGACUUCUGAUCCCAUCAUAUUCCUUUCAGUUGACGGGGCUGUGGCCGCUGCCCAGUGUGUGUUUCUCAUCCAACUGUAUAAAAUCAGGCAAUAAAAAGAUGGGCCUCAGUGAGCUGAAAAGUCAGUGAGGGAGGUGAGGAGAAAGACAGACAGAAGUAGAGAGAGGUCUAACUUGACAAGACCUUCUAUUUUAACAAACAUAAUCAAGAUGGCUUAAAAACGAUUAAACCUCAAAUUCCACAGUCAUUUCACUUUCAGAUGAUUUGCGGCUGUUGCCUCGUCUGGGAAAAACUGACUUAGUUAUGGUCUUUGUGAACAGACAGCUUCUAGAACCAGACGAGGCAGCAGAAUGAAGUGUAAUUGACUAAGUGGCUCAAAGAAGGGGAGAAAUAUAAUUCAAUAAAUUAAAGUACUAAAGAUAUAUGCAAAAUUCACGGGCUUCUUAUGCCUGGCAUUGUAGGAUAAGACUGUUCCUCAUUUUAAAAUUGGACUCUUUAGUAGGAUUACUACUCAAUAUCAGCAGCAAAGAAGUUGGCUCUGGAACUGUAAUUUGAGGUGUAAAUUAAGGUGACCUCAACUAGGAUGAAAUACCUUUAAAGAAGCUGAGAUAUAAAAUAUGAGCUGUUUUCAGGAAACGGAAGACAAUUGGGAGUUGUUGAAAAUGGACCAACAAAAGUGAAAAGGGGAAAUAAAGAAACAGAUUACAGGACAAAAGCCUGAGCACCUAAUUUAAAACAAAAAUGGUUUCCUAUGGUUUAUGAUGAGUGAUAAACAGAGUCCACUGUGUGGCCAUAAAAAUAUAUCUUUAGCUCAGAAAAUAUGAGCCUCACUGUCAGCUUAAUGUAGUGAUUUAAGCUCACAGCCUUUCUCCUUGAAAGAGUUACAAGGCUAAAGUUACCAAUCAUUCUAAAUGAUGUGCCUUUGGAAAUUAUGAACUAUGGCCAAGAGGCAUUAGUUUUUAGUGCAACUUAAUCAUGAAUUUACCUAUUUCAAGUUAUUGUUUAGUUACAUAUUUCUUAGCACAGCUGGAGUGGUAGAGUAUUAAUAGUUAUAAAACUCCAUUAAACUGGCAUUAAACUUCUGAGAAAAACCCAUAAAAUUCUACAGAAAGCCCAACACUGGAGCUCUGCCUCCUCUGGCUCCAAGUCAACUUUAUUAUAAUAAAGUCAUUCAAAAGACUCAACAAGGAGCCAAGAGGGUCUAUUGAGAAACCUCAUGGUGUUAUAGCAGGAAACCUCUGAUUCACCUAGAAGACUAAUGCACAUACAAACCAUAGGAAAUUCUGAGAUAAAGCUUUCUAAGAAACAUUAAAAUAGCAAAUGGGGAUGUUGAUUCCAUUAUCAUAUGAAGCCAAGGCAAAAAAAACAAAAAGAAAGACAAGAAGAAAGAAAAAAACAGUGGUAAAAUGACCUUUCACAAUUCUUCCAUAGAAAGUCUUUUCCCUGCAUUUGGGCAGCAGAGACUCCAAUCCCAAGGUCGUCAUUUUAUAAACAUGCUCAGGAAAGAGCAGAAUCACAAAUCACUGAUUGUCAAGCAGAGUUAAACAAAGUGCAGGAGCCACACUAUUUUAAACGAGGAACACAAUUGAGAGACCAUCAGACUGGACGUUUGGAGUAAAUAAAAAUCCAUUUCUGUCUCCGGGAAUUUUCAAAUAGGAAGAUGGACGGAGGAAGGGGAGGACAACAUUUCAGAGUGAGUAUUAAUAUUAGGUGCUUUAUAGCAUUGCUACUCAAGCUGUAGCCGAUGGGCCAUCAUUUACCUUCUCUGGGAGCUUGUCUGAAAUUCAGAAUCUCAGGCUCUUUCUUUUAGACCACAGCCCUUUUUACAAGAUUCCAGAUGAUUUUUAAGCACAAGAAAAUUUGAAAAGUAAAGCUUUACAUUACUUUUGUGAUUUUAGACAUACAACACUUUUACCAGUUGUUACCCUCACUUCAGAGAGAGGAAAAUAGAAGCUCUGUAGACUGUUCAAAGUUGCCCUGCCAGCCAGCUGUAGAAAUGCAAUUCCGACCUAAAUCAUUCAAAUUCCUCUAAAGUCAAACAUAAAAAUAUCAGCAAAUUCAAAUGAACAACAAACUAUUCCUGAAGUUGUGUUUCAUUUGUUCUAACUUGCUUUCCUUGUUUGCAUGGAGUAUGUAACAGUUGUGUAAUAAAGGGUUGCUGGACUAGUAAUUUAUUUGUGGAGUGCCUGCUCUGUGUGAGACAUUGUGUGUGAAAACAAGUAGUACGAGACAAAAUCUCAUACUUUGCUGGAACAUUUGUCUGGGAAGACAUGAUACAGGCUUUUACAAAAAAAAAAUAUCAAGAGUGGACAGUUCUUUGUGUUGAGUACAGCAGACAAGAAGUGCUUCCCAACGGCAUCGGAGUGUCCAUUGCAAUUCACAUCAAUCAACGUAGCCUAGAGAGCAAACAAGUGAUGUAAGUGUUCAACAAAUAUUAGCAAUUUAUAUAAUUGUCAUUGUUAACUUUCCCAGAGGUGGGAACACCAUAUUUAUUCUGGAGACAAUGGGAGGGGUGGUCUUGCUGGUGGACAGGGUGAAUGUGAGGAGAGAAGUUUUGAAUAAACUUUAAAGGCUUUGUUGUGAAAAGUCAGGCAGUUCGAUGAGUUGAGACAGUAUUCUGUAAGCAAUGGUGAGAGGGUGACUAUCAUAAUGAAAGAGGAGCCUUCAUAUGCAUCUUAAUAUAUUAGUCAUUACUGGAAAAUUGGAUCAUUCCUAAGAUUUUGGGCAGUCUCAUGAAAAAUAGCUCUUAUGAAAAAAAAAUUGUCACUGGAUAAGUGCCCCAGACAAAUUUCUGAUAGGGUAAAACUAGGCAUUGAACCUACUCCAGAAGAAAUGAAAUCUCUCUCCCUGGUUUCUAAUGGGUGUUCACAUAACUUUCAGUAAGAAGAUGUUUCUCGGUGAAACCCUGUCUCUACUAAAAAUACAGAAAAUUUCUGAGAGUUAAGAAAAUGCAAGUCCCUUUUGUAGCUUGUCAGAAUAAUAGCUACUUAACCAAUUACUGCUCUUUUACCCUGACCAUGAUCUGUCUUGCUGAACAUUCUAAAACAUAUAAAACCUUGAGGUGAUGGCAGCAGAAUGAUUUGAUAAUGGGUCUUGUAUAGAAUCAAAAUGUUCUGGAGUGGUAGAUUAAAGAAGGAUAUGGAUACCGUGUUUUUCUCUUCUCUAUGAGGUAGAGUCUAGUUUCUCUUACCUUGAGUCUGAGAUGACCUGAGUGAUUUGUCCAUAAAUGGACCUAGUAGCAACUGAUACUCUGAUAAGAACUGUUGCAGCUUCCAAUAUGGCCUUUUAGAACUCUCUGAGAGCCCUGAGAUGUCAAGUAAGAAGUUUAUCUGAUACUUCUUGUUGGAGAAGCCAAAUGGAGGUACUCUGAUUGGCAGUCCCAGCUGAGUCAACUAGACAAGCCUUCCAAUCAUUCCCUGCAUCCAAGGUACCAGACAUAAAUACACCUCUUCUCAGACAUCCUUCGCAUCAUUGCAAGCAUCCCUCUUUCAUUGACAAAACGGCAUUUACUCUGAGAAACAGAAAUGGAGUCAGUCUUUGAAAAUGUUUUCUACCUUAUGAUACUAAGCCUAGUAUCUGGACCACAAAAGCAAAGUGCGCCAUGGCUUCCAAGAUAUUCAAGCCCUCUUUUGUUUUGCCAAAGACUGCACUCUUGCCAUCCAACCACACAGUUUUGGCAGUGCAGAUGAAAAACUGGAAACCAUUUGUGUAGUGUCCAGUAUUUGCCACGGACAAGGUGCCAGGUCUUGUAUGCUUCAGGAUGGAGUUCUCAUCAUCAAACUUCUCCCAGUAGUUGGACUUGUGCCAGUGUCAUCAUGACAUGUGAAGUCACCACUCUGGCAUAUAAACCCUGGAAUAAUUCUGUGAAAACAGGAACACUUAUAGCCAAAUCCUUUCUCUCCAGUGCUCACAAAAUGAACAUUUUCUGUUGUCUUUGGAACUUUGCAAACAGCUGGAAGGAGACAUGGCCCAAGUGCUCACCAUUGACUACAAAGUCAAAGAACAAGGUGGAGGUGACCAUCACUGGCAGUGGUGACAUCAGUGGAAGUGGCAUCUGCAAAGUGCCAACAAAUAUUUUAAACAAACAAACCAAUAAAUUAAUAUUUCUUAAACCGAUAAAGAAUGAAAACUUUCCAGCCACUCAUCAGGCAUUUGUUCAUAACUGCUUGGUGUCAUUCAUGGUGAGAGAUUUUGCUGACACAAUGAUAGCUAUGAACAAUCCCUGCUUCCAGAAGCCUAUGGUGCAGCAGGAGAGGUUUGUACCCACAUUCAUGGCAUAGUGAUGGAGCGUGUUGGUGCCAGAACAGAGAUACACUGAGGCCUUUCUGAAGGGAUCCAGAAUGGAACAUCUUCAACUUCAUGUGUGUUCAAGAUGGCCUUCAUAAAGGAAGUGACAAACAUAUUCAGGUAUCUGAAAGUUGAACACACACUGAGGCUUACACUGGACAGAAGACAGAAGGGUAGUGUCGUCCCUGACCCUGAGGCCUUAAAUCCCUAUUGGGAAGUGAACACACUGACAGAUUUUCACAUACAAAAAAGAAAUAAACAAACCCAUUUAAAACUAUGAGUGGUUGAUUUAUGUGACCACUCCUAUGGAUGCUUGCAUACAAACAGGACACACAGAAGGAUAAUCUGAAAUAGAAAUAUAUUAGACAUAAGGAUUAACUGCAUGAUAUUUACUAGUAAAAAGCUAAAACACUAAUUUAAAUUUAAACUGUUAACUCUGAAAAAUAAUGGAGGGGAGAGCCCAUUGGAGAGAAGGCAAUGAGCAAAAAAAUCCAAGAGCCUCGGGAUUAGAUAAAAUUAAAAAAAUGUCUGACUGGAGAAUGACAUACUUUUAUAAUCUCUUCACUUCUCCAGACAUCCUCUAUUUGUUACAAAGCUAUCCCAGUCCCCAGUCUUGUGGUGUCUGGACCCUUGGGGUCACUUCCUAGCUGGUGACUUGCUUACACUCUGGCCUGGCCUCACAAUGUGUAAGCCUCAUUGAGCGAUCCUUCUAGAACGUUAGCCAGAUUAUGUAACUCUCCUUUUCAGAAACUUCCAACCACUUGCUCUCUUGCACAUAAUUAAUUCUGAUGUCCUCAUCCUGGCUUCUAAAAUAGAUGACCUGGCCCCUUACUAACGCACUGGUCUCAUCUCCCACCUCUCUUCCUAGGUAGCUCUAGUCACACAGCCUGUGAUCAUUUUGAAAUGUCUGAACCAUACUCCCCUUUCAGGACUGUUGCAUUGCUCUUCUAUAUAUCCAUGUGUCCUGCACCCUCUCUUCAUUUAGGCUUUGCUCAAAAUAUCCUUUUUUCAAAGAUUGUUUCUCCAAAUGCCCUUAUGAAAUAGCAUGCUUCUCAAUGCUUUAGUUUCUUGCCUGCUUUACUUAUCUUCAUUCAUUUAUUUUGUUUCCUCUAACUAAAAUGCAAGCUUCAUGAGAGUGAGAAAUAUUUCAUAAAUAACUAUUCCCUGUGCUUAAAACAGUGCCUUAAACGUGGUAGACACUCAAUAGAUAUACAUUGAAGAAAUGAACAAAUACUUUUCAGAGCCCUUACUAUGUAAUAUGCAUUAUCAAAAUAAAUCAUAAAAAUUCAAGAGAAGGGUAUAAUAUUCAGUGCUUCUCAACAAUUUAGACAUACAGCUCUUUUGCAGAUUAUUUCCCAUUUAUCCCUCUCUUCAGCAACCAUUUACCUAUAAUGUUAUUAUCUGCCUACCACGGAACCUAUCAUGCUCUGAACACACUUUGGAAAUUGCUGUUCUAACAGAUACCAAAGGAAGGGAACUAUAUUUACUUUCAGGCCUGAAAUAAGUCAGAGCUAAAAGGAGUAAAAGUGGUGUGCAGAUCUAUCUCAAUGAUAGUCCAAAAUUGUGGGUGUGUGUGUGUGUGCGCGCAUUUGCAUGAAGAGGGGACUCUGGGCUCUGAGAUCCACAGGAAAAAAAAAAAAAAAACAGAAAAAUAUGGCUGAAGUCACUGAACAAACUCAUCAGAAAAAAGAUUAGAUUAUUAUAGAAAACAAUGCUUAAACUGCUAAAAUGCAAAUUGUGAUAGUUAAUUUUAUAUGUCAACUUGACGGGGCCAUCGAAUGCACAGAUAUUUCGUUGAAAAUUAUUUCUGGUUCCAACACAGAGAUGAGAAAUGUUUGAGAUGAUCGAUAUGCUAAUUACUCUGAUCUGGUCACUAUAUAUUAUAGUGAAAUUAUAUUAUAUUAUUAUUAU